AAAAAAAAAAAGAAAAAAAAACACCACAAAAGGUCUCAAAAAUGAAAAGAGAAAGAAAAGCAAAAAGAAAAAUAAAUGCCACACAUGAUUUGGGGCAAAGUAAUGAGAUCUUUUGUGUGAGGAAAGAAAAAGCAGUGAAACGAUGUGGGGGGCAAAAUGCCAAGUUGUAUCAAAUGAUCCUUUGGUUUUGAACCUCUUUAAUACAUGUUUUGAGCCUAUUAUAUCCUUUUUUUAUGACCCUUCACCUUGGCCUACAUUACAACCUUGAAAAGUCUAUUUGGAUCAAAUGUGAAUACUCAACUUGAAUGAUCAUAGGUUGAGCAAAGAUAUGCUCAUGAUGAAGCAAUGGAAUCAUGCUACAUGGAAGAUAUCAACACUGGAUG
rnacentral:lncRNA from 1 species